rnacentral:rRNA from 1 species
CCUACGGGAGGCAGCAGUAAGGAAUAUUGGUCAAUGGACGCAAGUCUGAACCAGCCAUGCCGCGUGAAGGAUUAAGGCCCUCUGGGUUGUAAACUUCUUUUAUAGGGGACGAAAAAAGGGCAUUCUUGCUCACUUGACGGUACCCUAGGAAUAAGCACCGGCUAACUCCGUGCCAGCAGCCGCGGUAAUACGGAGGGUGCAAGCGUUAUCCGGAUUUACUGGGUUUAAAGGGUGCGUAGGUGGGUUGGUAAGUCAGUGGUGAAAUCUUCGAGCUUAACUCGGAAACUGCCAUUGAUACUAUCAAUCUUGAAUCAUCUAGAGGUAAGCGGAAUAUGUCAUGUAGCGGUGAAAUGCUUAGAUAUGACAUAGAACACCAAUUGCGAAGGCAGCUUACUAUGGAUGUAUUGACACUGAGGCACGAAAGCGUGGGGAUCAAACAGGAUUAGAUACCCUGGUAGUCCACGCCCUAAACGAUGGAUACUCGACAUUUGUGAUAUACUAUAAGUGUCUGAGCGAAAGCAUUAAGUAUCCCACCUGGGAAGUACGACCGCAAGGUUGAACUCAAUGAAUUGACG